rnacentral:rRNA from 1 species
AUUGAACGCUGGCGGCAUGCCUUACACAUGCAAGUCGAACGGCAGCACGGGUGCUUGCACCUGGUGGCGAGUGGCGAACGGGUGAGUAAUACAUCGGAACAUGUCCUGUAGUGGGGGAUAGCCCGGCGAAAGCCGGAUUAAUACCGCAUACGAUCUACGGAUGACAGCGGGGGACCUUCGGGCCUCGCGCUAUAGGGUUGGCCGAUGGCUGAUUAGCUAGUUGGUGGGGUAAAGGCCUACCAAGGCGACGAUCAGUAGCUGGUCUGAGAGGACGACCAGCCACACUGGGACUGAGACACGGCCCAGACUCCUACGGGAGGCAGCAGUGGGGAAUUUUGGACAAUGGGCGAAAGCCUGAUCCAGCAAUGCCGCGUGUGUGAAGAAGGCCCUCGGGUUGUAAAGCACUUUUGUCCGGAAAGAAAUCCUUGGCCCUAAUACGGUCGGGGGAUGACGGUACCGGAAGAAUAAGCACCGGCUAACUACGUG